GGGUCGGCUUUAGCUCAAGCGGUUACUUCCUCACGCUGGACUUAUCAUCUGUCUACAUCCUGCGCUGGGGUUCGAGACCCGCGGGUGCUUUCUGACCCUUUU
ensembl:misc_RNA Vault Vault RNA